rnacentral:lncRNA from 1 species
AUACCAGGCAGAUUAUAGGCCUUACAUAGAAACAAUUAGUCAAAAAGUCUCAUUCUUUAUAUCAUCAAAACAAUAAUGCUGGAAACAAUAAUUUGGUAUACAAGUCAAUUUAUAAAUACAAGUGCUCAGUGUCCUCAAUUUAAUCCUCGAGGACUUAUCUUAAUAAAUAAUAUUUUAACAAUUUUAAUAAAUAAAAGGGGGAACUAUCCCUGAAUGCUAAUAAUGCUCGUUUUAUUUCAAUUAUAAAAUUUGGAUGCCAAGGUUUAUGGCACCCUACAACUAGGCAUACUUCUGCCUAGGUGAAAUAGAAAGACCCACAUAUUGGCAUGAUCCUGUCCAGGUAUUUUAUAUGGGGAAGAGGGAAUGUUUGUGUUUUUUCUACAGAAUGCUACAGGAGUGUGCCAGCUGCCUGAGAGUCUGGUGAGCCAUGCUGAUCCUGGGAGCAUGAAGAUUCAAUUCAGCUCUCGUGGUUCUGGUUCCUGGAGUCAUUCCUGUGCCCUUAGAGGAAGACGGAGGAUUCCCCCUCAUCUUUUGUCAUCACAGAAAUUCUGGCAUUGCUGCAGUCAUUGUGUCCUGUCCCAUCUCGGCCUGCCCUCCGACCCUCUGUGCACUGCUGCUUGCUGGAAGCUGCUGUGGACUGGGGAACUCUGCCCUGGUUCUGCAGAUCUCAGACAUGGUUCCAUUGCCUGCUGGUUGGUCCAGAGAAGAAUGACUGAUCCUGAACUGUCCUGGGAAAGACCUAGGCAUUUUCGCUGCUAUUGUGGCAGCCAUUACUGC